rnacentral:rRNA from 1 species
CGUGUAGGCGGCUAUGCAAGUCGGGUGUGAAAUCCCACGGCUCAACCGUGGAAGUGCACUCGAAACUACGUAGCUGGAGUUCUGGAGAGGAAGGUGGAAUGCUCGGUGUAGAGGUGAAAUUCGUAGAUAUCGAGUGGAACACCGGUGGCGAAGGCGGCCUUCUGGACAGAAACUGACGCUGAGACGCGAAAGCGUGGGAGCAAACA